GAGCAUACUCCCAUCUUCUAAUUUACCCUGAAAAACCUACAACAGCUGUGGUUGGGCCAGAGCUGAAGCCAAAACCUGAGAGUACAAUCCAGGUCUCCACAUGGGUGGCAGGAAUCCAAUUACUUGAGUCAUUACUGCUGCCUCCCAGGGUCUGCAUUGCCAGGAAGCUGGAGUCAGGAAUCAGAAUCAGACAUUGGAUCCAGACACUUUGAUUUGGGAUGUGGGCAUCCUGACUGGAUUCUUAACCACUAGGCCAAACAUCUGGCCCUCUGUUGGUUGUUAAGUCCCAUUUUCUUACUUGAGACCCAAUCACUACUACUGAGACUGAACAGAAUGACAUGUUAGUUGGGCUUUAUCUGGGUGAGUGUCAAGGAGGUGGCCAGCUGUUGAAGAAAUCUUUGUCAGUGAAACGAUUUCUUGUUGAGGUUGCAAUGUUCUAGUAUCUACUCUGGCUCUUCCUGGCUGUGUAGCUUAGGGGAGUGGAAAGGUGAUUGUGUUAUGUUGCAAGAGAAAGCUGGCAUAGGAUUUCAACUCAAUGCAAGGAGCUUGUAGUUUCAUAGCGCUAUCCACUCUUUACUGCAAACUUUAAUUAAUUCAAGCUCCACUGAAAUCUGUGUGAUAUUAUGUCAUUUGUUUGUGGUUAAUUAUUUUGUUUUCUAAACCUGUAUUGUUGGGAUAUCAAAUGCAUAUUUAUAUGAAAUUCUGGCAACAGUUUUUCCUUCACAACUGCCAAUCCUGUGUCCCAUAAGUCGCUUCUGGUUAUUCUUAAGGAAGGCUAUAAUUUCCUCCAAACAGGGAACUGUCCCUGAGUUUAAAAAGCAACAAGAAAAUAUAAGUAUGACUUUUAUUUGAAGGGACAGAAACACAUGAGAUGGUAUCCAGUGACAAAACUGGAAAUGUACUUCACAUUCCCUGAUAGUUGAAUGCCAAUGUCAGACCUAUUAAGAAAACACUUCAUACUGCCAUCCGUAUAAAGAGAAUUUAUGAUUACAAGGCAAUCUGGCAAGCUCUAAAUUUUCUUUGUAUAGUUUUAUCUAUGCUCAAGAUCUCUAUGGCGAUGAAUAAUUAAAUUUAACAAGUAUUUAUUGAGCAACUAUUAUGAGCAAAUCAGUGUGUUAGAGUCUCCUGGUUUUAAAAAAAAAUACACAACACAUAAAAUCAUGGUAUCAAGGAAUUAUGAACUUAAGAAUAGUUCAGGCAAGCAAGUAACCACACAAAAGGAAAUAAUAUGUCAUUUGAUUCUAUGCAAGCAUAUGAACACUGAAAGGUAUUAGUGAAAAUAUUUUACACAAUUUAAUUAUUAACUUUUUUAAAAAGUUAUUUAUUUAUUUGAAAGGCAGAGUUACAGAGAGAGAGAGAAUGAGAGAGAGAGAAUGAGAGCGAGAGAGAAUUUUCUGUCCUCUGGCUCACUCUCCAAAAGGCUACAACAGCCAGGACUGAGCCACGCCAAAGCUAGGGGUUUCCUCCAGGUAUCCCACGUGGGUGUGGGGGCCCAAGCAUUUGGGCCAUCCUGUGCUGCUUUCCCAGGCACUUUAGCAGGGAGCUGGAUUGGAAGCAGAGCAGUCAGGAUUCGAACAGGUGCCUAUAUGGGAUGCUGGGACUUUAACUGGCUGAGCCACAGCACUUGCUCCUCACCAUUAACUCUUACAGAACAAAGGUUAUGUUUCAUAAGUAUUUGACAUAGACUAAAUGUCUUGUAAGUUUUUCAGAUGACUGACUUUAAAUUUACUGGAUGCUCAUUAACAGCUGUGACACCGAAAAACAGAGGCAUUUCUUGUGAAUAGUCAUAUUUGCCUCAAUGAUGAAUUCCUUUAGCCUUUUAUUUCCCACAUUUAGUGGAUUUUUGAUAAAUUUUUCUUGAAUAUUAUAAUGGAUUAAAUUCCAGGUACAAAUAUGCUGUCAAACUGAAAUUCUUCAAAAAUUUUGUUAAGUCUUAUAUUUUAUUUAUUUAAUUUUAAAAACAGAGAAUGAGAGGGAGUGAGAGAUUCAUCUUCAGGUUCACUCUUUAAUGUUCACAUACCCUGGAGUGGGCUAGGCCCAAGUUGGGAGCCAGGAACUCAAUCCAGGUCUCUCAUAUGGGUGGCAGUGUUCCAGCAACUUGAGUCAUCACCUGCUGUCUACCAUAGUGCACAUUAACAGGAAGCUGGAAUUGGGAGUGGAGCUGGAGCUCUAAUUCAGGCACCCCAAUAAUGUGGAUAUCCUAGUUACUAUGCUAAAUGCCUGACCCCAAAUUGUAAUUCUUGCAUCCAUGGAAUCAGGUGUAUGUUCUAGACUUGAAGAAAUGGCAAGAGUUGGGUACAAGCACUUGUACCCUAACAUUAGACUGAAUUUAUUUAGAUAUUCCGGUGCGUUAAGAUCCUAAAAAAUCAACUUUGCUAGACCUUUGGAACUUAGGAUACUUGAGUUACUUUUGUUUUUCCAAUUGUUUGGAAUUUUUCCCCAGGUAAUUUUGUCUUGUCAAUAGUUGUAAAUGAACCUCUCUGAAGCUAUACUAGAAAUGCUUAUCUCAGUGGGCAUUGCAGCUGGGCUUAUGAGAGCCUAAAAGAGCUGAGUGAAGUCUGUCAGAAUUCAGCUUUAAGGCUGCAUGUUAUUUGAAUGCAAAGACUGAACUACAUCUUGUACUUGCAUUCACAACAGCAUAAUUCAAUAAAUAUUCAUAUUGACUCAAAAGAUCAAAGGUAGGGGCACUUGUGUCUGCAUAUAUAGUCUGAAGUGCGAUUGCACUUUGUUUCAGUUUUCAUUUUAACUUUUUUUUUUUUUUAUUUUUACUGCUCAAGUAGCCAGCAGAUGUUAUGCCUUUGAAGGAAUCAGUGUACUGUGUCAGAGAAAGUUUGGAAUAUAUGUAAGUCUAUUUUCCUUAAGCCCUAUGUCAUACCAAGCUAGUGAGAGAAGGAGACAGCACAAUGGUGUAUUACGGCUUUGAGAUCAAAUUACAGAAUUUAAACCUUAAAAUUAUUAAAAUAUAUAUGAGACUGAUUCAGGUUGUGCUUACAGAUUGCUAAUAAAUCACAUUUUCCACUCACUGCUCUGAUUUUAAGAACCAGCAAUUGGAAACUAGAGGCAUAAAAGAAUAGACUUAGAAUAAGUUUCAAAGAAUAAUCUAGUUCAUUUUUCUGCCACUGGCAGAUUUUGCCUAAACUCUUCUUUAGAGGGUAGAAUCUCUCCUAUUUGAAAACACCUACUGGGAAAGAAAUUUUAGCAUUCUCUAUAAUACCAUUAUGAUUUGUGGAAACAACUUGUUUUCUUCAAAAAUAAAUAGUUUUCUCAGAUAUUUUGUUUCUGGCAAUGCCUAUUUCAGGAAUAAUAAAUUCUAGUGUAAGUGCCACUUUUAAGAAAGGUUUUAGUAGAAUAUAUUAGAUAGAGAGAAAUAUGUAUUCAGUGGUGAAGAAAAGUUUUUUCUUCCAGAUCAAGGUUAAUUCUAAUAAGGAAAUAGAAAGUCCAUCACUAAUGCCUUUGCAUUAAAGCUCACUUCCUCUUGAAUGAAGCUGAAGGAUGUUCUUGCAUAUCAAUGUUGUUCCAAAGACUUUCAUUAUCUCUGUGGUUUUGUUUAUUCAAAUAUUUUCUCCACAUGCAAUUUCUUCAUGUAUAAACUAGAUGCAAAUGCAUGUCUUUUAAGAAGUCUAUAAAUCUUCUCUUUAAUGAAGGUGCCCUUUAGUGCAAUGUGCCUAUUUGAGGAAAUUAUUCAAAGAUGGAUUUGCUUUCAAUAGUGUUUUUUAUUUUACUUUUGAUCAGACUUAGCAAAGUAUAGAUCAAGAGAAAACCAAAUUUUCCUUUUUGAUGUAAUUCAAGACUCUUCUUCUUCAUGGUGUUCAGGGAUAACGGAGUGUUCACAACGCAGGUUGACUUAGGUCUAAUGCGGAGAAAGGGUUAGCCUGGUGACCCCAGGAAAACUACUUGAGUUAAGCAGAAAAAAGAAUUGUUAUUGGGUUAGUUGGUUGUGUAAUUUAAGCCAUUAAACACAUAAGCAUGGCAAUGUGCUGUGACUGAAAAGCAAAUAACUCACCCUUGUCAAAAAAACUUAGCUUCUUUUUUUUUCUUUCUAGCUGUGAAAUUAACUAUCAAUUCAUAUGCAAUUCCAGAUCAAAAAUGGUGGGGUACCAGAUGCACUGGUGCAUGAGAAUGGAAGUAAUUGUUUGUGGUUUUCAUGAGAAGAUUGCCAGUUUGCAGCAUUUAAAUUACACACAAACUGGUUUUUACAUCUCUAAUUGUAGCUCUGUUGUUUUCAGGGAGGGUUGAAUUGACAUUGACAAACAUAGACUUAGAAAGAAUACAAAGACAUGAAAACAGCACUAAAUUUGCCCCAAAAAGAUUCAAUGAAUAAUGCUGCACUGUUCUAUUUAUUCCUUGGUAUGCCAAAAUUUUCUUAUUUCCCCUAAGGAGCGAUGCUGACUUUGGUAAAUUAAUGAGAAAUAGUAACUGCAGAAGGGUUGAGUAAAUCAAGCUCAUGAGUUUUGUGAAUUAUUCUGUGUCUGCCUUUUAUUACAUUUUAAGAAAGAUUUGAAUCUGAUACAGUCUUUUGAUUGUUUCUUUCCUUUAACUCAAAAUUUUCCACUUACCUUUAGCAUUUAAUUGAUCUGUACAAGCUUUGACCCAUUCAAAUCUCACUAUGUUAAUAAUUAGCUCUGGGGAAAAGUGAAAACAGAGUCCCAUUAGUAGUAUUCUGCUCCUCACUUUUUGCUUGAAUCUGACUGCUCUGUACAAUAAAGCCAUGAACCUCUCAGGCUGAGGAAUGAAAACUGGCUUCCUAGAGAAUCAAAACCAGGAAAACAAAGAGGUAUGGGAAAGCAAAUAAAAACCCCUCAUUUGAGGAUGUGAAUGAAGAAAUGCCUUGUGUCAUGUCAGUGCCAUGGAACCUGGAUAAACUGGGAUGUUGUAAAUGACAUACCUGUAGUAAGUGUACAUUGAACACAGUCAGAUGAAGCUCUGUUUGCUGCCAGCUGCCAUCUUGUGAACAUGGGACCCACUGUUAAUUCAGGAGCGUGUUGUUCAGUCUCCAUGUGUUUGCAUAUGAUCUAGAGAUUCUUGAGUUAUUGAUUUCCAGUUUCUUCCCAUUGUGAUCAGAGAAGAUGCACGGGAUAAAAAGACCAUAUUGGACUCUCUGCCUUUUUGUGACUGGAUCAUCAUGGUACAUCAGGAGUGCUGGUUUUAUGCUAAUCGCUCCGGCAUCAUCCAGGACAAGAUCAAGACCCUCCAAAAAGACCUUGACCUGUGGUUGGGCCUUGGGAGAUGGCUUCCUUAUCUCCUCCCCCUUGUGGGCCCCUUGCUCUCCAUUGUCCUUGUAAAUUUGUCCAAGAUCGCAUUGCUGCAGUCCAGUUAAUGGUGGUCAACAACAAUAUGCCACUCUUCAAGAACCGAGUUAUGCCGCUCUUUAAGCCCCAGAUUGGGAACCCUGUACAUCCGCCCAUGGCCACUGCCAAGAUAUAGAGGUAUAAUACCUCAUACCCUGAGUUGCUGAGGUGGUAGCCAAUGAUGGGUAAGAUCCCUGGGGCAGCCCUUAACAACUGGAGUAGUAGUCAAAGAUGGGUAAGAUCCCUAGAGGGGGACAACCUAACACAGACAUGCUCCCUAAAGGGCUGAUCCCAGUCAGAGGGGACAAUCUAAGACAGGCACACUCUCUGCUCAGUUCCUCUUUCUCUUUUAAUAUAAAACAAAAAGGGGGAAAUGUUGGGCAUUGCCUAAAAUCUCCAUUACAGUAUGGCACCUGGUGGAUGUUCCAGGGGCGUGUCUGCGGCUGCUGCUGUUAAGCUACAUCAGACCACUGGCAGGGAUAGGUCCGCUUUAGUUCCAGACAGUGCAUGAUCACUAUACUUUAUUAAGGUGCCCCUGUGUGUGGUCCACCCAUGCCUACAUGACCUUUUAGCUGAUUGGCUCCCUUAACUGUGCAUGUCUUCUGUAAGUUUUAUAAGCCUGCACACUUCUUCAAUAAAGUGGUUCCUGCUUCGACAGAA